GACAGGACCUCUGGGGCCCCUUCCUUCCCUGAGAAUCUAUGAUUUCAGGGACCUUUUUUUUUUCUUCACCAGAAAAACAUGAAAGUAUUAGAACAGACCCUGCAAAAGGAACCUCUGCCUGGGAACUAAUGAUGCCCUUCAUUCCUAAUGCUAAUUGGCUCUCUCACUUCUGAGAUUGCCCCACCCCAGAGCAAACAAGAGAGUCGGUAAAUUCUUAGUCUGGGAGACUUUGGGGGAGUUCCCAUGAAGCGAGGGCCAUCCUGACUGUUAGAUCUCUCUGGGUCCCUUAGCUUCAUCUUGUCUGCAGGAUGGUGUGUGUGCUGCUCCCCAGGGGCAUCUGGACAGAGGUUCUGGCUGUGACCCUGCUGGUGCUGAAUUCCCAGGUGGCUGCAGGCAGACAUGCCCCAAUGUCAUCUCUGGUCUCCACACUAUUGCUGCUGUCCCUGAAGCCUGGUCAGGAUCAAAGGGCCUCUGCCAUGACCCAGUAGAGGUGUAAGAUCCUUUGUUCUGGGCAGGGAGGGAGCCCUCUGGGAUGGGACACAACCCUCUUCCAGCUAGUGUAAGUAUUAUAGGGGAACAGAUAAAAGCCCCUCUGGCACUGUGUGCAUUAUUUCCCCUGCAGCCUGGCCUGGCACCUGGCCUGGCCCAUCACAGUCUCUUUGGGAUCCUAACCUGUUCUCAAGGAAUCUGACCCACUUUUGAGGUUUAUCAGCUGCACUGACUCUGGGGGGAAGAGUAUGCCAUGUGUAACAUCCAUUCUCCAGGUCUGGGCAAGAGAGAAGGGCCUUCUAGAGACAGUCUAUUAGGGACUGAGGAAGGAGACACCCAAGGACAGUGGGAUCUCCCAGUUCUAGCAGAGUGAUGGCUGCUUAACCUAGCUGACAACUCCAGUAUCAUCCUGCUAUAACCCAUGGGUAUACUGAGUGGGUGCUGCCCCCUUGUGGACAAUCAUCCAAACAACACAGUAUUUAAGUAGCCUCCCAAACUUUUUCUUUCUUCUUUCUUCUUUCUUUCUUUCUUCUUUCUUUCUUUCUUUCUUCUUCUUU
rnacentral:lncRNA from 1 species